rnacentral:rRNA from 1 species
CUCGAUAUUUAUGGGAGGUCUAGCCUGCCCACUGAAGAAUUAAAGGGCCGCGGUAUUUUGACCGUGCAAAGGUAGCAUAAUCAUUAGUCUUCUAAUUAAAGGCUGGAAUGAAUGGCUGGACGAGGUAUUAGCUGUCUCUUUAAGAGAAAUUUGAAUUUAACUUCCUAGUGAAAAGGCUGGGAUAGUAUUGGAGGACGAGAAGACCCUAUAGAGCUUUACAUUUAUUAUUACUUUAAUCGGUUUAGGAGGAGUUAGGUUUUGUGGUGGGAGUGUUUCGUUGGGGUGACGGGAAGAGAUAAGAAACUCUUCUUGGGAUGAACCACGAGUUAGUGAACUAUUGAUCCAUUUUUAGUGAUUAUAAGUCUAAGUUACCUUAGGGAUAACAGCGUAAUCUUUUUUGAGAGUUCUAAUCGACAAGAAGGGUUGCGACCUCGAUGUUGGACUAAGGGUUAUUCUUGGGUGUAGCAGUUCAAGGUUUGGGUCUGUUCGACCUUUGAACCCUUA